UUUCCGUAGGUGAACCUGCGGAAGGAUCAUUAUUGAAUAACCGAGGUGCGAGGGCUGUCGCUGACCCGAACGCUCGUGCACGUCCCAGUGCCCUCACUCUCAUCCAUCUCACCCCUAUGUGCACCACUGCGUGGGUCCUCGUCUGCCUUUUUUGGAGAGGCGCUUACGUUAUCAAACAUACUUUGUAUGUAGUGUAGAAUGACUUUCUUGUUUUUGCGUCUACGCACUCACUACAACUUUCAACAACGGAGCUCUUGACUCUCCACUCGUUGAAGAAAG
rnacentral:misc_RNA from 1 species